CACUUAAUGUGUUGUGAAAUCUAUUGUGAGUGUAUUGUAAUGUUUUAAAAUUGUAGAACUGGCUUAAUUUUGCUGGACCUAAAGGGGAUCCAUAAUAAAUACAAGCAGAUAUAUGUUCUAACCUCUUGACACUUAAACCCAGUAAAUCCUGCAGCAGUGUUUCCCUGGGUUCCUGUGGUCUGGGUGGGGGCUGUCCUGACUGCUGGAGCUCUGCUCCUCACCAUCUACUGCACUCUGAAGAGGAGAUACACAGGAGAAAGUGAUGCCACAACAGACACACAGAGUGUCCAUCCUGACUGUAACAGUGACACUUACACAGGUCUGAAGAUGAGGACCAUGUCCCCUGACUAUGACACUCUGGCAAGUGUCCAUUCUGACCCUAACAGUAACAAGUGCACAUCUCUGAAGAAGAAUACCAGGUCACCAGAGUGACAUCCAGGCAGUAGGUG